UUUAACUUAAAUUUACCAUGCUAAACAUUUGACGGUUAGCAUUGUUUAAACUAGCUUAGCUGUGUGGUUGUUAGUCACAGAAGCGCCAGACUGUUUGCACUGCACUGUUCCUGGAGCAACUGGUAUCCUUCAAAAUAGUGGGCUUUGAUGUGGCAGUGCUAAGAAUGUUCUAGAUCAGUAUCCUCAAGGUCCCUCCUGCUCAAACAUUACAGUUGAGUGCUGAAUUCAUCAGGAUUACCACCAUUCCUUUGGUUUCCAGCUUGAUCAGUACUCCACUCAGCUGAUCAGAGUCUUCAAAAGGAAAGGGGGCAUGGCAGCAAAGAAUAGCAGUACCAGACUAUUCAGUAUUUUUAUUGCAAUAAUAUUUAUGCUAUGUUUUUCCCCUUUAUUCAUUUCCUGUAAUUCUUCCUAAUGUAAGUUACAGUUGCUUUUAUUUUUGUAAAUACAGAAUCUGGAAAAUUUGCUUUAUUGAGACGAACUGUGACUUAAUAGAGCUAGUUAAAAGGAAUUUUUUUUUGGUUCGUUUAUAUGCUGCUAAUAUUUGUUUGACUGAAAAUAAGGAACUGUACUGAAUAUGAAAAAGGAAAAUUACUGAAUGUUUGUAACAGCAUUGAAAACAACAAUUAAAAGUGUU